ensembl:snoRNA
GCUGCCCCCUUAGGGGUGCUGCAGGUGUGGCUUCGGUAUCACUUGUGAAUCUAUAGGUGGCAGAGAGGAGAAAGGCCAUGUCUAUGCUCAGUGUCUGUGAACAUCUGAAUGAUUAGUAGCCUAGCAUU